rnacentral:rRNA from 1 species
UGAGGAAUAUUGCGCAAUGGGGGAAACCCUGACGCAGCAACGCCGCGUGAGUGAGGAAGGUUUUCGGACCGUAAAGCUCUGUCGAGCGGGAAGAAAUGCAUGGUGGCUAAUAUCCAUCAUGCUUGACGGUACCGCUAAAGGAAGCACCGGCUAACUCCGUGCCAGCAGCCGCGGUAACACGGGGGGUGCAAGCGUUGUUCGGAAUCAUUGGGCGUAAAGAGCGUGUAGGCGGCUUGACAAGUCAGAUGUGAAAUCCCUGGGCUUAACCCAGGAAGUGCAUUUGAAACUGUUUGGCUGGAGUAAGGGAGAGGAAAGUGGAAUUCCUGGUGUAAAGGUGAAAUUCGUAGAUAUCAGGAGGAACACCGGUGGCGAAGGCGACUUUCUGGCCCUAUACUGACGCUGAGACGCGAAAGCGUGGGGAGCAAACA